CGCGUAGGCGGUUUCGGAAGUUAUGGGUGAAAGCCCCCGGCUCAACUGGGGAAUUGCCUGUAAAACCACGGAUCUGGAGUGCUGGAGAGGGAAGUGGAAUUCCCAGUGUAGCGGUGAAAUGCGUAGAUAUUGGGAGGAACACCAGUGGCGAAGGCGGCUCUCUGGCCCAGUACUGACGCUGAGGCGCGAAAGCCAGGGGAGCGAACG
rnacentral:rRNA from 1 species